GCACUCUGUGCUUUGCGCCUGCGCACAACCGCGCCCACCGUACUUUCUGCUCCCGGACACGGAGACAACCGAGACCUGGGUUCUCUAAAGCUCUCACUUUAACCAAAACAUCUGGGAUUGUGUCAGAAGCCAAGAACCUGCGUUUAAUUCAGGCUGACCCAAGACUCACUACUUAGCCCAAACUGAUCCUGGACUCACCUUCCAGAAUACUGGAAUUACAAGCGUUUAUUACCUCGCCCUGCUGUAGGGAGUGUAUGUAAGUAAAUUCUUUCAUUUUUAUCCUGCACAUUUGCUUAAACUUACUGUGUAGUUUAAGACGACCUUGAAUUUCUGAUCCUCCUGCCUCUGUCUCCUGGAGUUUGAGAUCAAAAUUAUAGGCAUAUGAUACCAUGCCUGGUUUAUGUAGUGCUAAGGACUGAGCCCCAGGGCUUCAUGAAUGCCGGAUCAUGACAUUACCAACUCCACUAUGUGCUCAGCCACUGUUUUCAUUUCAUUUUAUUUGAAUUUAUUGAGACAUGGCCUUAUGUAGUCCAGGCUGGCCUCAAAUUCACUCUGUAGCCUAGGAUGACCUUGAAUUCCUGAUUACAGGCCUGAGUCAACAUGUCCAUUAUUUAUGAAUUUAUUGAGACAAAGUGUUGCUAUCUACUGAGGGCUGGUCUUAGACUCACAAUCCUUCUGCCUGUUUUCAGAGUGCCAGACUCAUUGGAAGAUCUGAGAAUAUCCUCAAGACAACUUUAAGUUUAUGUGACCUUUUUUUUUUUGAAUUUGGGGAUAAUCUUUUAAAUUUGUUCACUGCCAAAAUGGUUUGCAUAUGUAUGGUGACAUCAUGUAGAAAAGCAGCAUUUUCUAUUGUUUCUCAGAGAUGCCAGUAGUUAUUGCUUUUAUAUCAGUUUGCUUACAGGAGGAAGAGGUACUAAAAUACUAAAAAUACUGUAUUCAGAAAAUGCAUUAAAAAUAUUAGAAUAGUGCCAG